rnacentral:miRNA from 1 species
CAAAGUGCUGUUUGUGCAGGUAG